rnacentral:rRNA from 1 species
CCUACGGGGGACAGCAGUGAGGAAUAUUGGUCAAUGGGCGGAAGCCUGAACCAGCCAAGUCGCGUGCAGGAUGACGGCCCUACGGGUUGUAAACUGCUUUUAUACGGGAAUAACGCGCCUUACGUGUAGUGCUUUGCAUGUACCGUAUGAAUAAGGACCGGCUAAUUCCGUGCCAGCAGCCGCGGUAAUACGGAAGGUCCGGGCGUUAUCCGGAUUUAUUGGGUUUAAAGGGAGCGUAGGCCGGAUGUCAAGCGUGCUGUGAAAUUUCCGGGCUCAACCCCGGCCUUGCAGUGCAAACUGGCGUGCUUGAGUCCGCGGAAAGCAGGCGGAAUUCGUGGUGUAGCGGUGAAAUGCAUAGAUAUGACGAAGAACCCCGAUUGCGAAGGCAGCUUGCUGCAGCGGAACUGACGCUGAUGCUCGAAAGCGCGGGUAUCGAACAGGAUUAGAUACCCUUGUAGUC